CGACCAUGGAAUCCCCUUCUACCAAGCUCGAGUCAAAUCCCACUUCCUCUCUCAUGCCAUCACCAGUCCCUCCCUCUCCGAAUUGACCAACUUGUAGCCUAUCAAGCCCGACGAGGUCACAGAUAUACCUCUCGGAGUUCAACUCAAUCUGUUUCACUGUGGAGGAAUUGCUAUUGGGUUGUGCAUUUCGCAUCGAGUUGCCGAUGCCUUGCCUUAUUUCACGUUUGUUAGGAACUGGGCAUCAACUACUGCUUGUGGAAAUGCCUUUGUAGAAGCGGACUUUUCGGCAGCCUCGAUCUUGGAACACCAGCCCUCCAUCUUGGCUCGACGAAACCGCAUUCGUCCGCACCGCGGCCAAUACCCAUCACAGCCAAAAGGAAAACCCGCCUGAGAUCAUCCCUCUGACUAGCUAGGACGCCUUCACCGACCAGUUUUCUCGGCAUCCCACAAUCCAGAGGCCGAAUCCGAUCAAAUCCACCCCCCGACUUCAGUCGAGAGACAGCCCGCGACGUCCAGUACUGCUCCUAUCUAGUUCCAUCGUCGAUCAACAUGAUUGAUAAUCCCCACCUUCCAACAACCCAGGUAUGGCGGCCGUCCAAAGACACCGCCACCGCACCCCAACUCAUUACUUCGAUCGACCGACCCUA
rnacentral:lncRNA from 1 species